rnacentral:rRNA from 1 species
UACAGAGGUCUCAAGCGUUGUUCGGAUUCAUUGGGCGUAAAGGGCGCGUAGGCUGCGGGGCAAGUCGGGUGUGAAAUCUCAGAGCUCAACUCUGAAACUGCACUCGAUACUGCUUUGCUCGAGGACUGGAGAGGAGAUUGGAAUUCACGGUGUAGCAGUGAAGUGUGUAGAUAUCGUGAGGAAGACCAGUGGCGAAGGCGGAUCUCUGGACAGUUCCUGACGCUGAGGCGCGAAGGCCAGGGGAGCAAACGGG